UAUUGGUCAAUGGACGCAAGUCUGAACCAGCCAUGCCGCGUGAAGGAUGAAGGUCCUCUGGAUUGUAAACUUCUUUUAUAUGGGAAGAAAUCCUCGAAAUCUUUCGGGGUUGACGGUACCAUAGGAAUAAGCACCGGCUAACUCCGUGCCAGCAGCCGCGGUAAUACGGAAGGGUGCAAGCGUUAUCCGGAUUCACUGGGUUUAAAGGGUGCGUAGGAGGGCAGGUAAGUCAGUGGUGAAAUCUCCAAGCUUAACUUGAAACUGCCGUUGAUACUAUCUGUCUUAAUACCGUGGAGAUAGCGGAAUAUGUCAUGAGCGGUAAAUGCUAGUUACAAGACACCAAUUGCGAGGAGCUCGUUCACAAUUAGCUCUGGACAAAACAUCUU
rnacentral:rRNA from 1 species